rnacentral:rRNA from 1 species
UACGGAGGGGGCUAGCGUUGUUCGGAAUUACUGGGCGUAAAGCGCACGUAGGCGGAUUGGAAAGUCAGAGGUGAAAUCCCAGAGCUCAACUUUGGAACUGCCUUUGAAACUGGAUCACUAGAAUCAUGGAGAGGUCAGUGGAAUUCCGAGUGUAGAGGUGAAAUUCGUAGAUAUUCGGAGGAACACCAGUGGCGAAGGCGGCUCACUGGCUCGAUACUGACGCUGAGGUGCGAAAGCGUGGGGAGCAAACAGG